rnacentral:rRNA from 1 species
CCUACGGGUGGCAGCAGUGGGGAAUCUUGCACAAUGGGGGAAACCCUGAUGCAGCGACGCCGCGUGAGCGAUGAAGCCCUUCGGGGUGUAAAGCUCUUUCGGCAGGGACGAUUAUGACGGUACCUGCAGAAGCAGCUGCGGCUAACUACGUGCCAGCAGCCGCGGUAAUACGUAGGCAGCAAGCGUUGUUCGGAGUUACUGGGCGUAAAGGGUGCGUAGGCGGUCCUAUAAGUAUGGUGUGAAAUCUCCCGGCUCAACUGGGAGGGUGCGCUAUAGACUGUGGGACUAGAGUGUGGGAGAGGAAAGUGGAAUUCCUGGUGUAGCGGUGAAAUGCGUAGAUAUCAGGAGGAACACCGGCGGUGUAAACGGCUUUCUGGACCAUAACUGACGCUGAGGCACGAAAGCGUGGGUAGCAAACAGGAUUAGAUACCCCAGUAGUC